AGCCUCUGGGCAUGCGUCUGUACCGCCGCCAUCUUGGAACAGGGUUCUAAUCAGGUAUCUGUUCAUUUACCAUUAUGGCCACGCCAGUCGGUGAUCACUUUGUAAAGUUGAAGGAUAUUUGUGCCGCUAUGCUUGCAGCAACGAGAGGACGAAAAACAGCCAAAGAAGGUGUAACAUGAGAUGGCCCAAAAGAAGGAGGAGGCGGGCAUGGGCUCUGGCUUUGAAGAGAGAGAGAGAGGUUUGUGCCAAAACAACGCUGAUCUGAUGCUGCCACUUACCUCCUGAGCAAACUGUUCGGCUGAGAGAGCCAUCAAUUUCAACUUCAACUUCCCCAAACACUUGUCCAAGGGUAGUUCCAGUCCUGUGUUCCAUUCUUCAUGGAGGGCAUGGGGUGACUGU